CCCUUAGAUGUUCGGGGCCGCACGCGCGCUACACUGAAGGAAUCAGCACGUCUUUCUCCCUGUCCGAAAGGACUGGGUAACCCGCUGAACCUCCUUCGUGCUAGGGAUUGGGGCUUGUAAUUCUUCCCCAUGAACGAGGAAUUCCCAGUAAGCGCGAGUCAUAAGCUCGCGUUGAUUACGUCCCUGCCCUUUGUACACACCGCCCGUCGCUACUACCGAUUGGAUGGUUUAGUGAGAUCCUCGGAUUGGUCCCGGAGCGGCCUCUGGUCGUGCCGGAGUGCCGAAAAGAAUGUCGAACUUGAUCAUCUAGAGGAAGUAAAAGUCGUAACA
rnacentral:rRNA from 1 species